CAGCCGCCGCGGGAAUACGUAGGUGGCAAGCGUUGUCCGGAAUUAUUGGGCGUAGAGGGCUCGCAGGCGGUUUCUUAAGUCUGAUGUGAAAGCCCCCGGCUCAACCGGGGAGGGUCAUUGGAAACUGGGAAACUUGAGUGCAGAAGAGGAGAGUGGAAUUCCACGUGUAGCGGUGAAAUGCGUAGAGAUGAGGAGGAACACCAGUGGCGAAGGCGACUCUCUGGUCUGUAACUGACGCUGAGGAGCGAAAGCGUGGGGAGCGAACAGGAUUAGAUACCCCUGUAGUCCCUGUCUCUUAUAC
rnacentral:rRNA from 1 species